CCUACGGGCGGCAGCAGUCGGGAAUAUUGCGCAAUGGAGGAAACUCUGACGCAGUGACGCAGCGUGCAGGAAGAAGGUUCUCGGAUUGUAAACUGCUUUAGACAGAGAAGUAAAAAGACAGUAGCUGUCGAAUAAGUUCCUGCUAAAUGCGUGCCAGCAGCCUCAGUAAUUCGGAGGGAGCACGCUUUUACCGGAUUUAUUGGGUUUAAAGGGUGCGUAGCCGGAGAAGCAAGUUAGUUGUGAAAUCCCUCGGCUUAACUGAAGAACUGCAAUGAAAACUUAUUGCCUUGAGUACUGGAGAGGAAAGUGGAAUGCCUAGUGUAGCGGUGAAAUGCGUAGAUAUUAGGAAGAACACCAGUGGCGAAGGCGACUUUCUGGACAGUAACUGACGUUGAGGCACGAAAGUGUGGGGAGCAAACAGGAUUAGAUACCCGAGUAGUC
rnacentral:rRNA from 1 species